AAUUCUGGUGGUGAGGGCAACUGGCACAUAGUUUCUUAAAUCUCUCCCAGUAUUCAUAUAAGUUCUCUCCACUGAGUUGUCUAAUGCUUGAAAUAUCUUUUUUGAUGGU
rnacentral:snoRNA from 1 species